UACAGAGGUCCCAAGCGUUUGUUCGGAUUCACUGGGCGUAAAGGGUGCGUAGGCGGCGUGACAAGUCACUUGUGAAAUCUCCGGGCUUAACUCGGAACUGCCAAGUGAUACUGUCGGACUAGAGUACAGAAGGGGCAACUGGAAUUCUCGGUGUAGCGGUGAAAUGCGUAGAUAUUGGGAGGAACACCAGUGGCGAAGGCGGCUCACUGGACCGGAACUGACGCUGAGGCGCGAAAGCGUGGGGAGCAAACAGG
rnacentral:rRNA from 1 species